CAUCCUGGCCAACAUGGUGAAACCCCAUCUCUACUGAAAGUACAAAAAAUUAGCCGGGUGUGGCAGCAGAUGCCUGCAAUCGCAACUACUCAGGAGGCUGAGGCAGGAGAAUCACUUGAACCUGGGAGGUGGAGGUUGCAGUGUGCCAAGAUCAUACCACUACACUCCAGCCUGGGCAACACAGCAAGAUUCUGUCACA